rnacentral:rRNA from 1 species
AUUGAACGCUGGCGGCAUGCCUUACACAUGCAAGUCGAACGGUAACGCGGGGCAACCUGGCGACGAGUGGCGAACGGGUGAGUAAUGCAUCGGAACGUGCCCAGUAGUGGGGGAUAGCCCGGCGAAAGCCGGAUUAAUACCGCAUACGACCUAUGGGUGAAAGCGGGGGACCGUAAGGCCUCGCGCUAUUGGAGCGGCCGAUGUCAGACUAGGUUGUUGGUGGGGUAAAAGCCUACCAAGCCGACGAUCUUUAGCUGGUCUGAGAGGCCGACCAGCCACACAGGGACUGAGACACGGCCCAGACUCCUACGGAAGGCAGCAGUGGGGAAUUUGGGACAAUGGUGGCAACCCUGAUCCAGCCAUGCCGCGUGCGGGAAGAAGGUCUUCGGAUUGUAAAGCACUUUAAGUUGGGAGGAAGGGCGCUCGGUGAAUACCCAGGCGUCUUGACGUUACCGACAGAAUAAGCACCGGCUAACUACGUGCCAGCCGCCGCAGUAAUAC